UACAGAGGGUGCGAGCGUUAAUCGGAAUUACUGGGCGUAAAGCGCACGUAGGCGGCUUGGUAUGUCGGGUGUGAAAUCCCCGGGCUCAACCUGGGAACUGCAUCCGAAACUGCCUUGCUCGAGUAUGGGAGAGGGAAGUGGAAUUUCCGGUGUAGCGGUGAAAUGCGUAGAUAUCGCUUGGAACGCCGAAGGUGAAAACAGGCUGCUGGGGUUGCGCCGACGCUGAGACACGAAAGCCAGGGGAGCAAACGGG
rnacentral:rRNA from 1 species